rnacentral:rRNA from 1 species
AGUGAACGCUGGCGGCAUGCCUUACACAUGCAAGUCGAACGGUAACAGGUCUUCGGAUGCUGACGAGUGGCGAACGGGUGAGUAAUACAUCGGAACGUGCCCGAUCGUGGGGGAUAACGAAGCGAAAGCUUUGCUAAUACCGCAUAAGAUCUACGGAUGAAAGCAGGGGACCGCAAGGCCUUGCGCGAACGGAGCGGCCGAUGGCAGAUUAGGUAGUUGGUGGGAUAAAAGCUUACCAAGCCGACGAUCUGUAGCUGGUCUGAGAGGACGACCAGCCACACUGGGACUGAGACACGGCCCAGACUCCUACGGGAGGCAGCAGUGGGGAAUUUUGGACAAUGGGCGAAAGCCUGAUCCAGCCAUGCCGCGUGCAGGAUGAAGGCCUUCGGGUUGUAAACUGCUUUUGUACGGAACGAAAAGACUCUGGUUAAUACCUGGGGUCCAUGACGGUACCGUAAGAAUAAGCACCGGCUAACUACGUG